UACGUAGGGGGGCUAGCGUUGUCCGGAAUCAUUGGGCGUAAAGAGCGUGUAGGCGGCCCGGUAAGUCCGCUGUGAAAGUCGGGGGCUCAACCCUCGGAUGCCGGUGGAUACUGUCGGGCUCGAGUACGGAAGAGGCGAGUGGAAUCCUGGUGUAGCGGUGAAAUGCGCAGAUAUCAGGAGGAACACCUAUUGCGAAGGCAGCUCGCUGGGACGUUACUGACGCUGAGACGCGAAAGCGUGGGGAGCAAACAGG
rnacentral:rRNA from 1 species